CCCGGCCCGCCCCACAGAGCUACCUGUGGCCAGUUUCCCGAGCCGUCCCAACCUGCAGGUGCGCAGGCCAGGCCAUUGCCCUGAACACGUCCCCCGAAAGAGAGGCGUGGCUUCCUGGGGAAGAUCUGAGGGCAGGGUCCCACCUAGACGUGGCUGGUGAAGCUGCCCACAGCCCCCAGACAUGAAGCUGUCCAGAGCAAGAACGAACACGAGCCCGCCGUCCAGCGCAUGGAAGAGGACCCAGCCCGCCUGUCUGACCCAGCGCAGCUCGGCACCGGGUGACACCCGGUCACCACGGGGAUGAUGUGGGCUGCGUCCUGCCCAAGAUGACCUGGCCCGUCACCACAUCCAUCACAUGCUCGGUGACCGUUGUGGGCUGAACCCCCAGCGUGGAGAGGGUGGCGGAGUGCAUGUCACACCCUCAAGCUCCCACUUUCACUUUCACAUGGGAUUUGGAGCCUCAGGGCCAAGCGAAUAAGAAAAAGAGAAGGAUGGCUGAGGUCUCACUUUGCUACAAGGCGGGAGGCUGCCUGCCCUCGGAGUUCCGGGGGAGCUGCCCUGAGAAGGCCUGGCCCUCCGUCCCUAGCAACAAUCUGUGUUUAGUAAAUAAACAGCGUGGCGCCAGCUCCACCCGCCCUGUGCUGCUAACCUCCCUGCCAUCUGGGCCCCCACCCCCACCCCUGCCCUUCCCAGAGUCAAGGCAGAGCUGAGCUCCAGCUCUGAGGGAGAGCAGCUUCCUGCAGGGAUCUGAGCUUCUGGGAUCCCGAGCCUUGCCAGGUUCAUUUUGCCUCGGGCCAUAACACAGGGUCUCCAGAGUAAACCAAGCCCCACCAGAUUCCAGGCCCUUCCACACCAUGGACCCUGCGGAUCAGACAGCUGAGCCAGCCAGGACUGGUGUGCUCUCAGAGGCCGUCAGGACACAGACACGCACAGAGGGACGACUGUGUGAGGACACAGAGGCCGCAGCAUCUAACGCCAAGGGAUGUGGAGCCACCUGGAGCCACCAGAGCUGGAAGAAGGGCCUGGAAGAGACCCUCCCCCAGAGCCUGCAGGGAGCGUGGCCCUGCCCACACCAUGAUCUCGGAUUUCUGGCCCCAGAACUGAGAGAGAAUAAAUUUCUCUGUUUAA